GUUUUUAAUUACGGAAUAUGCAGCCAACCACUUAACAGCUUCUAUGAGAUUUUUUUUUCUUCAGCUCAAAGCCUGUGGUAUUAGUCACCAAUUAGUAAUUUUAUUAUAAAGAUGUUUAAUGUCAAGAUAACACUCUUCGUUUCUGGCAGUGACGCUGUGCGGUGGCUUGGAAGUCUGACUUCAGGAGAAGAGCUGACCAUCUGCCAAGGCCUGCGCACUCACAGAUGACUAAUGUUUUCCCUGGAGGACUGUGGUUCCCUGUGUUUCUGUUGCUGUCUUUUCGAUGUCACAAAGCAAGGUUGAUAAACACAUUCAAGUCACAAUUAAAAAACAUUUUCACUGACCAGUUGCCACUGAUGAUAUUAUCAGACAGCUUCAGUGGUUGUUGUAACAACGUGUUUAAUGGUGUUGAUGUACAGGAAAGAUGAAGCUGCCCUUUGUCUGGUCCUUCCCUGGCUCUGUGAUUCUUUAAUGACAUUUCCAGGUACCAGGAGUCUUGUAAGGAAAUGCUAUUCGGCAUUAAUUGGGCAGAACUCUGGGAUUUUCAAGCUAAGCCCACAGGCUGGAAGAUCUAUCUAAAUUGGAACUCACUGAGCAAGCUGAAUGGUGCACCCGCUAAGUGAACCAGAAAUACCAAGGCCAGGUCUAAAUAGACUACCAGAACUCGCUUGGACCAUGAUCUGGAAAAGAAGCAGCAGAAGAGGCACCUAUAUGAGAUCAAUACAAGUUUUAUCGAAAUUCCUGGAAACAAAUCAAAGCCACAGUAUGAAGGUGUUCUCUGGGCUUGUUCUCAGGCCGUUUCCACCAAGUCUCAUCUCUGACCUGCACAAAGUCCUUCCUCUGCACGACCACCAGCUAGAGGUAGAUCUGGAAAAGUCUUCUCUGCACAGCUGCAGGUGUCCCUGGAAGUUCUGGAAGGAGCAAAGAGAAAAGUGCAGUGGAGUAGUUACCCGCCCCCCCCCACCAAAAACUCCAGUACAUUUCAUUCAAUGCUCCUUUUAUCUACUGAGACACAGACCUGGGUACUGUGGGGUGAUCCAAAGAGGAGACAAGACUGGAUCUCCAGAAGUUGUGGGACCAAUAAUAUUGUCUAUUACAUCCCAACUUUUAAAUAUUUUUGCACUGCAGGGGCAUUUGGUGGUUCACUCGGUUAAGCGUCUGCCUUGGUUUUGGCUCAGGUCAUGAUCUCAUGGGUCAUGACAUCAAGCCCUGGGUCAGGGUAGGGGUGUGUGUGGGGGGUUCACACUCAGCAGGGAGGCUACUUGAGGAUUCUCUCCCUUUGCCCCUUUCUCUUGCUUGCGCAUGCUCG
rnacentral:lncRNA from 1 species